GACGAACGCUGGCGGCGUGCUUAACACAUGCCAGUCGAACGGAAAGGCCCCUUUGGGGGUACUCGAGUGGCGAACGGGUGAGUAACACGUGAGUAACCUGCCCUUGACUUCGUGAUAACUUCAGGAAACUGGGGCUAAUACCGGAUAGGAAUCCUUGCUGCAUGGUGGGGGUUGGAAAGCUUCGGCGGUUUUGGAUGGACUCGCGGCUUAUCAGCUUGUUGGUGGGGUAGUGGCUUACCAAGGCUUUGACGGGUAGCCGGCCUGAGAGGGCGACCGGCCACAUUGGGACUGAGGGACGGCCCAGACUCCUACGGGAGGCAGCAGGGGGGAAUAUUGCACAAUGGGCGGAAGCCUGAUGCAGCAACGCCGCGUGCGGGAUGACGGCCUUCGGGUUGUAAACCGCUUUCAGCAGGGGCGAAGCUUGUGGUGACGGUACCUGCAGAAGAAGCACCGGCUAACUACGUG
rnacentral:rRNA from 1 species